rnacentral:rRNA from 1 species
GAUGAACGCUGGCGGCGUGCCUAAUACAUGCGAGUCGAGCGAACAGAUGAGGAGCUUGCUCCUCUGACGUUAGCGGCGGACGGGUGAGUAACACGUGGAUAACCUACCUAUAAGACUGGGAUAACUUCGGGAAACCGGAGCUAAUACCGGAUAAUAUAUUGAACCGCAUGGUUCAAUAGUGAAAGACGGUUUUGCUGUCACUUAUAGAUGGGUCCGCGCCGCAUUAGCUAGUUGGUAAGGUAACGGCUUACCAAGGCAACGAUGCGUAGCCGACCUGAGAGGGUGAUCGGCCACACUGGAACUGAGACACGGUCCAGACUCCUACGGGAGGCAGCAGUAGGGAAUCUUCCGCAAUGGGCGAAAGCCUGACGGAGCAACGCCGCGUGAGUGAUGAAGGUCUUCGGAUCGUAAAACUCUGUUAUUAGGGAAGAACAAAUGUGUAAGUAACUAUGCACGUCUUGACGGUACCUAAUCAGAAAGCCACGGCUAACUACGUG